rnacentral:tRNA from 1 species
GCCUUCGUGGUGUAGUGGUCAGCACGCUCGACUCGUAUCUGAGAGGUCCGUGGUUCGAUUCCCGGCGAAAGCG